rfam:Hordeum vulgare subsp. vulgare, WGS project CAJW01000000 data, contig: morex_contig_274566
UACGUACUUCCUCCGUCCGAAAAUACUUGUCGAAGAGAUGAAUGUAUCUAGAUGUAUUUUAGUUCUGGAUACAUUCAUUUUUAUUUAUUUCUGCGGCAAGUAAUUCCGGACUGAGGGCGUACUUG